rnacentral:rRNA from 1 species
UACAGAGGUCCCAAGCGUUGUUCGGAUUCACUGGGCGUAAAGGGUGCGUAGGUGGUGAGGUAAGUCGGAUGUGAAAGCUCGGAGCUCAACUCCGAAAUGGCAUUGGAAACUACCUUGCUCGAGGGUUGGAGGGGGGACUGGAAUGCUUGGUGUAGCAGUGAAAUGCGUAGAGAUGUGGAGGAAUACCGAUGGCGAAGGCAGCCUCCUGGGCCAACACUGACGCUCAUGCACGAAAGCGUGGGGAGCAAACAGG